rnacentral:rRNA from 1 species
CCUACGGGUGGCAGCAGUGGGGAAUAUUGCACAAUGGGGGAAACCCUGAUGCAGCGACGCCGCGUGAGUGAAGAAGUAAUUCGUUAUGUUAAGCUCUAUCAGCAGGGGAGAAAAUGACGGUACCUGAGUAAGAAGCCCCGGCUAACUACGUGCCAGCAGCCGCGGUAAUACGUAGGGGGCAAGCGUUAUCCGGAUUUACUGGGUGUAAAGGGGGCGUAGACGGCAGUGCAAGUCUGGAGGGAAAGGCGGGGGCUCAACCCCCGGAGUGCUCUGGAAACUGUACGGCUGGAGUGCAGGAGAGGUAAGUGGAAUUCCUAGUGUAGCGGUGAAAUGCGUAGAUAUUAGGAGGAACACCAGUGGCGAAGGCGGCUUACUGGACUGUAACUGACGUUGAGGCUCGAAAGCGUGGGGAGCAAACAGGAUUAGAUACCCGGGUAGUC